AUUGAACGCUGGCGGCAGGCCUAACACAUGCAAGUCGAGCGGAUGAAGGGAGCUUGCUCCUGGAUUCAGCGGCGGACGGGUGAGUAAUGCCUAGGAAUCUGCCUGGUAGUGGGGGAUAACGUCCGGAAACGGGCGCUAAUACCGCAUACGUCCUGAGGGAGAAAGUGGGGGAUCUUCGGACCUCACGCUAUCAGAUGAGCCUAGGUCGGAUUAGCUAGUUGGUGGGGUAAAGGCCUACCGAGGCGACGAUCCGUAACUGGUCUGAGAGGAUGAUCAGUCACACUGGAACUGAGACACGGUCCAGACUCCUACGGGAGGCAGCAGUGGGGAAUAUUGGACAAUGGGCGAAAGCCUGAUCCAGCCAUGCCGCGUGUGUGAAGAAGGUCUUCGGAUUGUAAAGCACUUUAAGUUGGGAGGAAGGGCAGUAAGUUAAUACCUUGCUGUUUUGACGUUACCAACAGAAUAAGCGCCGGCUAACUUCGUG
rnacentral:rRNA from 1 species